UUUUCGGUGAUCUGUCCCCGGUCAAAGCUGUCCCCGGAAAUGUCCCCGAUUUUGACACUGAAUGGGGGGAAAAUGCGCGCAGACUCAAACACCAGUUAUUACGGUAGUCAUUUAACGCAUCACCAGAGAAGACGUCGUAUGACGUACAGACGUUAUCAGGACGUAUGACCAGACGCAGCAGCGUCAACAACAACAAUCUAGAGGCGGCAAAAAAUGAAAAAGAGAAGAUCAGCGGUCUCAUAAAUGGGGCGCCACAAGGGAUGUUGGGCCCCAUGAAAAGAUAUCACACUGGGUCCCACCAUCACACACAGGCAACGCCAACCAUGUGCAGUUUCUGUAACCACACCUCUACCUGUGAAGGCUUCAAUUAUCUUAUAGUCCGAUACUAACUUUACAAUAUCUACUGACACUGAGCUGUGAUAAUAUAACACUGUGAAGACAUGCAGGAAACAUUCUGCAUACUGAGAAAGUGUUUGUUUAAUUAUAAAUUUCAUUUUCUAUUAAAAUCCAUUAAUGAUGUUUCUUUUAACCUAACUAAUGUUCUAAUAUUUUUUAAGGGCCCCUGUCAGUCACUGGCCCACAGAAUUGUCCUAACUUUUCGCCCCCUAAUGGCGCCUCUGACCUUUUGUGUAAUAAAAGCUGGUUAAAAUA